rnacentral:rRNA from 1 species
UACAGGAGCUAACUCCCAAACCCCUGUGACAUACCAAUUGUUGCCUCGGCGGAUCAGCCCGCUCCCGGUAAAACGGGACGGCCCGCCAGAGGACCCCUAAACUCUGUUUCUAUAUGUAACUUCUGAGUAAAACCAUAAAUAAAUCAAAACUUUCAACAACGGAUCUCUUGGUUCUGGCAUCGAUGAAGAACGCAGCAAAAUGCGAUAAGUAAUGUGAAUUGCAGAAUUCAGUGAAUCAUCGAAUCUUUGAACGCACAUUGCGCCCGCCAGUAUUCUGGCGGGCAUGCCUGUUCGAGCGUCAUUUCAACCCUCAAGCCCCCGGGUUUGGUGUUGGGGAUCGGCGAGCCCUUGCGGCAAGCCGGCCCCGAAAUCUAGUGGCGGUCUCGCUGCAGCUUCCAUUGCGUAGUAGUAAAACCCUCGCAACUGGUACGCGGCGCGGCCAAGCCGUUAAACCCCCAACUUCUGAAUGUUGACCUCGGAUCAGGUAGGAAU